CUAGGAAGACUUUGAGAUUGCUUGAGACGCUGACUGCUCUUUGUGCAAGCCUCCUUGCAGCAUGGACUAGAACAAAUCCCAGAGGGCAGCGCCCUGUGCUGCGGGUGGCUGCCUUACAGAUAACGUUGGACAUGAAGCGGGCUGCAGAGAAGCAGUGCCAGUCUUUCUACUGAUAAAGCUUUCCUUUGAAGCUCUUGAGCUGUUAUUUUGUCUGCCUGUGUAUUUUUGAAGAGCAUUGUGUACGUUUAGUGGCGUAAAUAAAUAAAUAAAGCCUUGCACAUUUAUCUCUGAUGAAGGCUUGCUGUAAAUUUAUAUGCAAAUGAAGCUCAGC